UACGAAGGGGGCUAGCGUUGCUCGGAAUCACUGGGCGUAAAGCGCACGUAGGCGGCCAACUAAGUCAGACGUGAAAUCCCCAGGCUCAACCUGGGAACUGCGUCUGAUACUGGAUGGCUUGAAUCCGGGAGAGGGAUGCAGAAUUCCAGGUGUAGCGGUGAAAUGCGUAGAUAUCUGGAGGAAUACCGGUGGCGAAGGCGGCAUCCUGGACCGGCAUUGACGCUGAGGAGCGAAAGCCAGGGGAGCAAACGGG
rnacentral:rRNA from 1 species